AUACGGAGGGUGCAAGCGUUAAUCGGAAUUACUGGGCGUAAAGCGCACGCAGGCGGUUUGUUAAGUCAGAUGUGAAAUCCCCGGGCUCAACCUGGGAACUGCAUCUGAUACUGGCAAGCUUGAGUCUCGUCGAGGGGGGUAGAAUUCCAGGGGUAGCGGUGAAAUGCGUAGAGAUCUGGAGGAAUACCGGUGGCGAAGGCGGCCCCCUGGACGAAGACUGACGCUCAGGUGCGAAAGCGUGGGGAGCAAACAGGAUUAGAUACCCUGGUAGUCCACGCCGUAAACGAUGUCGACUUGGAGGUUGUGCCCUUGAGGCGUGGCUUCCGGAGCUAACGCGUUAAGUCGACCGCCUGGGGAGUACGGCCGCAAGGUUAAAACUCAAAUGAAUUGACGGGG
rnacentral:rRNA from 1 species